GACGAACGCUGGCGGCGUGCUUAACACAUGCAAGUCGAACGAAGAGCGAUGGAAGCUUGCUUCUAUCAAUCUUAGUGGCGAACGGGUGAGUAACGCGUAAUCAACCUGCCCUUCAGAGGGGGACAACAGUUGGAAACGACUGCUAAUACCGCAUACGAUCUAACCUCGGCAUCGAGGAAAGAUGAAAGGUGGCCUCUAUUUAUAAGCUAUCACUGAAGGAGGGGAUUGCGUCUGAUUAGCUAGUUGGAGGGGUAACGGCCCACCAAGGCGAUGAUCAGUAGCCGGUCUGAGAGGAUGAACGGCCACAUUGGGACUGAGACACGGCCCAGACUCCUACGGGAGGCAGCAGUGGGGAAUCUUCCGCAAUGGACGAAAGUCUGACGGAGCAACGCCGCGUGAGUGAUGACGGCCUUCGGGUUGUAAAAGCUCUGUUAAAUCGGGACGAAAGGCCCUUCUGCG
rnacentral:rRNA from 1 species